rnacentral:ribozyme from 1 species
AAGAUAAGACAAUCUGCAUUGGGAUGGGAUCCGAAGCUCCCUAGAGGGAUAAUACAGGCUCUCCCAUCCAACUCCUAUUCCGACACGUCCUCGUCGUGCAGAGUGGUAACGUGUGUCACCACAUAUCCAAGCUUGGGUACA